ensembl:lncRNA
UCUACUGAUACACUGUAUUAAUGGAGGUGUGUCUACUGAUACACUGUAUUAAUGGAGGUGUGUCUACAGAUACACUGUAUCUAAUAACAAUCAAUAUGGACCAUCUGUAGGCCUGAUAACAAUAUGGACCAUCUGUAGGCCUGAUAACAAUAUGGACUAUCUGUAGGCCUGAUAACAAUAUGGACCAUCAGUAGGUCUGAUAACAAUCAAUAUGGACCAUCAGUAGGCCUGAUAACAAUUAAUAUGGACCAUCAGUAGGCCUGAUAACAAUCAAUAUGGACCAUCAGUAGGUCUGAUAACAAUCAAUAUGGACCAUCUGUAGGCCUGAUAACAAUAUUGACCAUCUGUAGGCCUGAUAACAAUAUGGACCAUCUGUAGGCCUGAUAACAAUAUGGGCCAUCUGUAGGCCUGAUGACAAUAUGGACCAUCAGUAGGCCUGAUAACAAUAUGGACCAUCAGUAGGACUGAUAACAAUAUGGACCAUCACUAGGUCUG